UACGUAGGUUGCGAGCGUUGUCCGGAAUUAUUGGGCGUAAAGGGCUCGUAGGCGGUUUGUCGCGUCGGGAGUGAAAACGCCGGGCUUAACUCGGUGCUUGCUUUCGAUACGGGCAGACUAGAGGUAUGCAGGGGAGAACGGAAUUCCUGGUGUAGCGGUGAAAUGCGCAGAUAUCAGGAGGAACACCGGUGGCGAAGGCGGGUCUCUGGGCCGAUACUGACGCUGAGGAGCGAAAGCGUGGGAAGCGAACAGG
rnacentral:rRNA from 1 species